AUCCCCUCGCUUCAACGGCGGCGGCCCCCGUCCUUAACAUUGACAGCCCGAUUCCGGCCAACUCCGGUGCUUUCCCCGGUCUGCCGCUCACGGGAACGGAUCACUUCGCCGCCCCCUACUGAUUCGCCCUGCAGCGGGCCUUCUCCGCCGCCCCGGCGAGCCCCUUGGCCACCGAGGAGACGAGUUGCGCUGCCCGUGGAGCACCUCUCCUGAUUCCUCUCUUCCCUCUCCCGCAUCGGCCGCGGGAGUAGGAGCACGCCGCCUUGCCGCGCGCCGUCGGGCAUGGAUGCGGCCUAGAACUACUUCCGCCCCUGCCGUGCCGUGCGCCGACGGCCAUGGACCAGCCGCGCGAGUAGGAGCACGCUACGGCGGCCGCGCAUGAAUGUGGCCGAGAACUGCUGCCGCCCCUGUACUGCAGCCGCGACGCGCCGCACCUGCCGUGCGCCCCUGUCCUGGGCAUGAUGCUGCUGCCGCUCGGUGCUGCCGCUGGGGCGUGCUGCUGCUUGCCUCUCCGGUCCGCCGGUGCCUCCCGCUCGGGCGGCGUCCCGGGCUGACGGGGACGGGCUGCGUGCGUCUGAGCUGCUGCUCGCGUCGCCUCGCAACCGCUGCUGGACCCGAGGGAGCAGCCGGCUGCGCGCGUCCGGGGGAGCGCCCGAGCAGCUCGCGUUCGAGCUGACGGCUGCAUGCGCGCCCAAGGGAGCAGCUACCUAGUGCAGCGGCAUCAGCUACCCAAUGAAUGCCCACAACUUUUGUUUAUUAGUUUUUUGUCUAUUGCUGGUUGGUGUAAUCUGCAAGAAAGUGACAGAAUAGUCUAUUUAUGAAGUCCAAAGUCCAACAUUCUUUCAAUCCGGAAGAAAGUUAACAAAAGCAUUUCAGCUUGGAACUCUGGAGGUUGGUGCUGCCGAUGUGGCUGCUUAUCAAGCUAGAUACAGAGAGCUUCCAUUUAAUGAUAGAAAAUUUCCUUUGACCAUCAGGGAGCAAAAUCUUUCACAAAGAAGUAUAUGAAAGUCUGAAGUCCCCUUUUGAACAAAAGGUUGAUCAGAAGCGAACCAUGUUGGAUCCAAACAAUUUCAUUGUUCAGGAUACGCCUAAGGAGUAAGGACCUUCGAGCUGAAUGGAUUGAUGCAGAAGACAUUCCAACUGUCAGUGAGCGGCUUGUGCAGAAGAAUAAGAAAUAGAAACCUUCACCCAGGGACACUGCCGGUUCAAGAUGAGCAUGAAGCUGGUACCAAACUACUGUCUCAAGAUACUCCCUCUGUUGACAGUCCGAAUGUUGUUAAUGAUAACGCUGCAAUUGAAGUUCCUCCUUGACAAGCUGACAAGAUAGGUAGCACAAUUUCUCCGACGUAAUCAAGCCCAACAACGGCAUGAACAAAAGGAUGAGUUUGUCCUGAACUUCUUAUAUACCAUUGAUUUAUCAUCAUAUUUUUCAUGUUGAUUGGGUUAUCAAAGUACUUCUAUUUUCUCAUUCUAAUUUGUCACUGGGCAGAUUCUAUAGGCUUAACCAGGAUUAUUGUGUUUCAGCCUUUAUAGAUUAUAUACACUGUAGAGGUUAUCUUAUAUGAUUUACAUGGAUUUAUAGAACAUCAGUCUAAUUUAGAGGCUAUGUGUAGUGCAAAGGAAACUUAAUCUGCGCCAUUGCCCUGUUCUUUUA